AUUGGACAUUUUUAAGUCAUUGUCAAGUCAAAAGCAAAACUUUAGUUAUUUAGAGAAACUACACGAUCAUAUUCAAUUGGUAGCUCAUAUUCCAGUAAGAAAUAUUGGCACCAUUGCCGGCAAUCUGAUGACGAAACACAAACAUCCUGACUUUGCGUCUGAUUUGUAUCUUUUGUUCGAAACCAUCGGCGCGCAACUGACUAUUUUAAGUUCGACAGAGAAAAGUGUUGUAACGAUGCAAGAAUUUUUAA